rnacentral:rRNA from 1 species
ACGCUCGACACCUACGGAGGCAGCAGUGGGGAAUAUUGCACAAUGGGGGAAACCCUGAUGCAGCGACGCCGCGUGAGUGAAGAAGUAUUUCGGUAUGUAAAGCUCUAUCAGCAGGGAAGAAAAUGACGGUACCUGAGUAAGAAGCCCCGGCUAACUACGUGCCAGCAGUCGCGGUAAUCUGAGCGGGCUGGCAAGGC